GGGCGAUUAGCUCAGUUGGUUAGAGCACUUGUUUUACACACAAGGGGUCAUAAGUUCGAGUCUUAUAUCGCCCGCCA
rnacentral:tRNA from 1 species